UUGAUUUACAAAUGCGGUUGUGUGUAUAGCCGCAUUUGUAAAUCAAAGCGUUUGAUUUACAAAUGUGGCUAUACAUACAACCGCAUUUGUAAUCAAAGC
rnacentral:pre_miRNA from 1 species